GCUGCCGCUGCCUCCCUCGCUUCUGCAUCCACUCUAAGUUGUUGCUAGAGUUCUUCAUAUUUUCUUUCAACCUCGGCAAUUUGCUCAACUGUGCUCGCUUGCAUGUGAGCUAUCUGGUCCCUAAACCUCUGAACUUCAGCUCGAGCUUGACUCCUGGAAGACAUGUAUUGCUGGGAGCCGAAUCCAAAAUAUUGGGUCGGGGUAACACCAGAUCCUUGAAAUCG
rnacentral:lncRNA from 1 species